rnacentral:tRNA from 2 species
GCUCCGGUAGUGUAGCCCGGCCAAUCAUAUCGGCCUUUCGAGCCAAUGACACGGGUCCGAAUCCCGUCCGGAGCA